UCUCCUUAAUUUUGUGAACUGCAGCUGGAAACCAGUUUUAAUCUUUGAUGCUUAGAAACUUUAAUUUUUCCUAUAAUCUGAUGAAAUUAUCCAACAAUUUAUUACAACACUCUGAUGGCUGAGCUAUUUUCAAUAUUCAAUAUCAUAUUACCAAGUGCUCCUCGAGAAACAACAAUUUCGAAGUUCAAUUAAUUGUAAGACAUACACUCAAUGUGCCAAGCAAACAACAAAUUCUCACCAUAAAUCAUCGAAACAAAAGGAAGGUUCAUGGUUAAUAUCUGCCGAUGUCUUCGGCAAAGUGGUAGAGCUUAUAGAGAGAGAUAGAGAUCGAGGGACUUUUGACUACCUAAGCUAAAUUUGUAUGAACUAGUUUUUUAUUUUUAAUUUGACUACUUUAAAACUUGAUAUAUA